GNAAUUACUGGGCGUAAAGCGGGCGCAGACGGUUACUUAAGCAGGAUGUGAAAUCCCCGGGCUCAACCUGGGAACUGCGUUNUGAACUGGGUGACUAGAGUGUGUCAGAGGGAGGUAGAAUUCCACGUGUAGCAGUGAAAUGCGUAGAGAUGUGGAGGAAUACCGAUGGCGAAGGCAGCNUCCUGGGAUAACACUGACGUUCAUGCCCGAAAGCGUGGGUAGCAAACAGGAUUAGAUACCCUGGUAGUNCACGCCCUAAACGAUGUCGAUUAGCUGUUGGGCAGCAUGACUGCUUAGUAGCGAAGCUAACGCGUGAAAUCGACCGCCUGGGGAGUACGGUCGCAAGAUUAAAACUCAAAGGAAUUGACGGGGACCCGCACAAGCGGUGGAUGGUGUGGAUUAAUUCGAUGCAACGCGAAGAACCUUACCUGGUCUUGACAUGUACGGAACCCUCCAGAGACGGAGGAGUGCCUUCGGGAGCCGUAACACAGGUGCUGCAUGGCUGUCGUCAGCUCGUGUCGUGAGAUGUUGGGUUGAGUCCCGCAACGAGCGCAACCCUUGUCAUUAGUUGCCAUCAUUAAGUUGGGCACUCUAAUGAGACUGCCGGUGACAAGCCGGAGGAAGGUGGGGAUGACGUCAAGUCCUCAUGGCCCUUAUGACCAGGGCUUCACACGUCAUACAAUGGUCGGUACAGAGGGUAGCCAAGCCGCGAGGCGGAGCCAAUCUCACAAAACCGAUCGUAGUCCGGAUUGCACUCUGCAACUCGAGUGCAUGAAGUCGGAAUCGCUAGUAAUCGCAGGUCAGCAUACUGCGGUGAAUACGUUCCCGGGUCUUGUACACACCGCCCGUCACACCAUGGGAGUGGGGGAUACCAGAAGUAG
rnacentral:rRNA from 1 species